GAUUAGGUUUGCCAAUAAAUUAAUUGAAUAUAUUUUAGCACUGUUUAAAAUUAACUGUUAAGCCUACAUGAUAAAAAUUUAAAAAAUUAAUUAUAUAAUAAAUUUGUAAAUAUUAUAUGAACAGGUUGAUAGCAUAUAUCAAAAACAACUUCAAACCUAGCCUAAAUAGGACUUCGAAAGAAGGCACACUAGUAUAGUUUCAAAGGGAGGCAUAAAUAAGAGUUAGGACUUUAAAGGAGAGUUUAAUUUUAAAAAAUAAAUACCAGAGAGAGAAAGAAAAUUCUAGGAAUAUGAAUGCUG
rnacentral:misc_RNA from 1 species